rnacentral:rRNA from 1 species
GACGAACGCUGGCGGCGUGCUUAACCCAUGCAAGUCGAACGGAAAGGCCUGCUUUCCCUUGUGGAUUGCGGGUACUCGAGUGGCGAACGGGUGAGUAACACGUGAGUGAUCUGCCCCCAACUUGGGUAUAAGCCUGGGAAACUGGGUCUAAUUCCCGAUAGGACUGCAGGGUGGUGCCUGUGGUGGAAAACGAUUUUCUAGUGGUUGGGGAUGAGCUCGCGGCCUAUCAGCUUGUUGGUGGGGUAAUGUCCUACCAAGGCGGCGACGGGUAGCCGGCCUGAGAGGGUGGACGGCCACAUUGGGACUGAGAUACGGCCCAGACUCCUACGGGAGGCAGCAGUGGGGAAUAUUGCACAAUGGGCGGAAGCCUGAUGCAGCGACGCCGCGUGGGGGAUGACGGCCUUCGGGUUGUAAACUCCUUUCGACCGCGAGGAAGCCACCUGGUUGGAAGGGUGGUGACGGUAGUGGUAGAAGAAGCACCGGCUAACUACGUG